rnacentral:rRNA from 1 species
AGGGUUUGAUCAUGGCUCAGAUUGAACGCUGGCGGUAACUUUUAAACAUGCAAGUCGAGCGGUAACAGACAUAAAGAUUCAGCUUGCUGAAUCCGGUGCUGACGAGCGGCGAACGGGUGAGUAACGCGUAGGAAUCUACCCAGUAGCGGGGGAUAGCCCGAGGAAACUCGGAUUAAUACCGCAUACGCCCUGAGGGGGAAAGGGGGCAGUUUACUGCUCUCACUAUUGGAUGAGCCUGCGUAAGAUUAGCUUGUUGGUGGGGUAAUGGCCUACCAAGGCAACGAUCUUUAGCUGGUCUGAGAGGACGAUCAGCCACAUUGGGACUGAGACACGGCCCAGACAUCUACGGAUGGCAGCAGUUAAGAAUAUUGGACAAUGGGGGCAACCCUGAUCCAGGUAUACCGCGUGUGUGAAGAAGGCCCUAGGGUUGUAAAGCACUUUAAUCAGAGAAGAAGCGUUUUAAGUUAAUACCUUAUUAUGUUGACGUUAUCUGAAGAAUAAGGACCGGCUAACUCCGUGCCAGCAGCCGCGGUAAUACGGAGGGUCCAAGCGUUAAUCGGAAUUACUGGGCGUAAAGCGCGCGUAGGCGGUUUAGCAAGUUGUAUGUGAAAGCCCUGGGCUCAACCUAGGAACUGCAUUCAAAACUGCUAAGCUAGAGUACGAGAGAGGAGAGUAGAAUUUCUGGUGUAGCGGUGAAAUGCGUAGAUAUCAGAAGGAAUACCAAUGGCGAAGGCAGCUCUCUGGCUCGUCACUGACGCUGAGGUGCGAAAGCGUGGGUAGCAAACAGGAUUAGAUACCCUGGUAGUCCACGCCGUAAACGAUGAGAACUAGCCGUUGGGCAGAUUUAACUGUUCAGUGGCACAGCUAACGCAUUAAGUUCUCCGCCUGGGGAGUACGGCCGCAAGGCUAAAACUCAAAUGAAUUGACGGGGGCCCGCACAAGCGGUGGAGUAUGUGGUUUAAUUCGAUGCAACGCGAAGAACCUUACCAGGGUUUGACAUCCUGCGAACCUCUUAGAAAUUUGAGGGUGCCUUCGGGAAUGCAGUGACAGGUGGUGCAUGGCUGUCGUCAGCUCGUGUCGUGAGAUGUUGGGUUAAGUCCCGCAACGAGCGCAACCCACGUUUUUAGUUGCCAGCAUUUAGUUGGGCACUCUAGAAAGACCGCCGGUGAUAAACCGGAGGAAGGUGUGGAUGACGUCAAGUCAUCAUGCCCCUUACACCCUGGGCUACACACGUACUACAAUGCUACGGACAAAGGGCAGCAAACUCGCGAGAGCUAGCAAAUCCCAUAAACCGUGGCUCAGUUCAGAUCGUAGGCUGCAACUCGCCUACGUGAAGUAGGAAUCGCUAGUAAUCGCAGGUCAGCAUACUGCGGUGAAUACGUUCCCGGGCCUUGUACACACCGCCCGUCACACCAUGGAAGUUGGCCAUGCCCGAAGUCGUUACUCCAACCCUUGUGGAGGAGGACGCCGAAGGUGGGGCUAAUGACUGGGGUGAAGUCAUAACAAGGUAGCCGUA